rnacentral:lncRNA from 1 species
GCAGAUCUCAGAGGAUUAUUAUGCUUGAUGCUGCUGUUAGAGAUAUUUGCUGUCUUACAGGCAAAGGAGAGAUUGUGGAAAAAGAAUGGGAUAGAGGUCUCUAACCCAGGCUGGAGUUCAUUGGCACAAUCUCAGCUCAUUACAGCCUUGACCUCCUGGACUCAAGCCAUCCUCCCACCUCGGCCUCCCAAGUAGCUGAAACCACAG